rnacentral:rRNA from 1 species
GAUGAACGCUAGCGGCAGGCCUAACACAUGCAAGUCGAGGGGGAGGUUACUUUCGGGUAACUGAGACCGGCGUACGGGUGCGUAACGCGUAUACAAUCUGCCUUUCACUGGGGGAUAGCCCGAAGAAAUUUGGAUUAAUACCCCAUAGUAUAGUAAUACGGCAUCGUGAUGCUAUUAAAGCUUAGGUGGUGAAAGAUGAGUAUGCGUUCUAUUAGCUAGUUGGAGAGGUAACGGCUCCCCAAGGCGAUGAUAGAUAGGGGUUCUGAGAGGGAUGUCCCCCACACUGGUACUGAGAUACGGACCAGACUCCUACGGGAGGCAGCAGUGAGGAAUAUUGGACAAUGGUCGGAAGACUGAUCCAGCCAUGCCGCGUGCAGGAUGAAGGUCUUAUGGAUUGUAAACUGCUUUUGUAAGGGAAGAAUAAGGGCUACGCGUAGUUUGAUGACGGUACCCUACGAAUAAGCAUCGGCUAACUCCGUG